CAAUUGGAAGGGCCCAAAGAUUAAAGCCUCGCCCCAUGAGUUGUCAAGAUGAGAGAAUCUUAAAACCGGUCGGCCUAUUAAAUCUCAAAUAACAGUCCUUGAAAGAGAUAUUGACAAAUAGACUCCUCAUCGUAAUUCCUAUGUGCUGCAGACUAGAUGAAACCCGUUUUUCCCUUUUGACACUUCUGCCACCCGAUGUUAGCGUCUCCUUCCACCAACCCAAAUCUCAAACUAGAAAUAAUAAAAAAAUGAAAUACAUCCAGCAAAAAUAAUGAGUCGGGGAAAACGAAAAAUGGACCAGCAAGGGUGCUUGUGGUGGCGUCGAUCUGCUGCACUCAGGUGGAAGAAUCGAGCUCCAACCAGUAGUUGCCGCAACAACCCACCACCCACGUCGUCGCUACCAUUUUCUCCAUCAUUGGCACCAUUUUUUGGGCUCAUUUACCAAUUGUUCUUAUUCAAGAACUUGGGAGAUGAAGAACAUUCAACAUUUUGAAGCAAUAGGAUCUGGGAAAGUUAGAAAACAAAUUGUCGCUGUUGAUUUGAGGUGGGUGACUCAUUUAAUGUCAUCGUAGAGAUUAGAUGGGUAUGGUAAGGGGGUGAUGGUGAGAACAAUGCCCCGAUGCCCGAUGGUGAACCAAAAUUUUACUCAUUGAAGCUCGUGGAAGAAUAAAAGGAAAUGGGAAGAAGAAGAGAUGAAGACGAGGGAAAUGGAAAUAGGGGAAGAAGACAAGGGAAGAAGAAGAGACGAAGCCGAACUCAAGUUUGCCUGUAGUGUGAACGCAAUAAAGGAGCUUUGGGAUUUGGAAAAGGAAGAGAAAGGGGGCCAGGUUUCAAUUAAUUAAAUAUCUAGUGUAGUGUUCUCUACUUCUUUUGUAUGUGUUUGCUUAUGUGGAACACUUCAAUUGGAUGUUGUUUAUUGCUCAACAACGGACGGACCGUUGCAAAGCGGCCCUCUGUCAAGAUAUAUUUAUUUUGACACCAA